rnacentral:lncRNA from 1 species
AGAGCUGGGCGGGUUAAGGAGGAGGAUGGCGCCGUCCUGCAGAUGUGCGGGGACGCGCGCCCGCCGCAACGUGAGGCUCAUAGGCCACACGCAACUCUGAGCAUUGGCCAGGACCUGUAGUAGCCAACAGGACACUUAAUAACUGAUGUAUAGGUGCGCACUGUGUGUCCAGAGCUUUACGUUAACCACCUCACUGUGUCAUCUCGCUGAGGUUGUGUGGUUUACUAUUACUGCUAUUAGCGCAUUUUUAAGCGGGAAACCUGAGGCAUGAGGAGGGUCAGUCCUCGACCUUGUCCCCCCAAAUUGCUUCGUCUCUGAAUCCAGACUCUGAAGUUCGGCUCUGCCUACCACCUUAAGUUAUCCGAUGUGGCCUUACCGUCAGCCUAGUCUUUGACUACAGGAAGACCUCUCUUCCUGAAGAAGACGCCUCUUUUCAUCCAUUCACUCUGGAAAUGAUUCAACGUCUGCCUGCUGCUGAUGCUUUACUCUCCACCAGGGGUUUUCGAAGUGUGCUUCCCCAUUCCCCCUGGGCCUAUAGCAUCAGCAUCAGGGAACUUGUCAGUAACGCACAUUCUUGGGCCCCAACCCAGAACUACUGAAUCAGAAACUUGGGGUGAGGGCCUGUCGUGGUGGCUCAUGCCUGUAAUCCCAACACUUUGGGAAGCAGAGGAGGGUGGAUCACCUGAGGUCAGGAGUUGAGGACCAGCCUGGCUAACAUGGUGAAACCCCGUCUCUACUAAAAAUAGAAAAAUUAGCCAGAUGUGGUGGCGUGUGCCCAUAAUCCUAGCUACUCGGGAGACUGAGGCAGGAGACUCGCUUGAACCCAAGAGGCGGAGGUUGCAGUGAGCCAAGAUUGCACCACUGCACUCUAGCCUGGGCGACAGAGUGAGACUCCGUCUCAAAAAAAAAAAAAGAACUCAGGGUGAGGCCCAGCCGGCUGUGGUUUUAUGAGCUUUUCAGGGGAUACUGAUGCGGGAUCAAAUUUGAGAAGCACUGGUCUAGGUCUUAGAUCCUCUUGCUUCAGUUUCGUCAUUGGAUCUCAGGAAUGUUCAGCUGCCCUCUCAAGGCAACUUCUUACUUCACUUGACCUUCCAAGACCUCUCGUUCUGUCAAACCCCAAUUUUGGAUCAACCCAGGCAUGCUUCCCUCAUGUGUUCCAAAGCUGGUCAGAGUAGUCUACACCACUAUCUGCUUCAACUUCUAGUAACGUCUAAGCCUUCAGCAGUUUUGCUUAUGAAACUGCUUCACUGAAGUUCUCCACCACCAAGUAGUCAGCUGGCAUCGGAAUUCGGCUUGUGUCAAAUGGAACUCAACAUCUUCCUCUUCAGGACAUCCCCUAUUUUCAUCCUCCCAGUGAAUGACACCACCAAGUUAAAGCCUGGAGGCUGGGUGUAGUGGUUCAUGCCUGUAAUCCCAGUAGUUUAGGAAACCGAGGUGGGCAGAUGGCUUGCGCCCAGGUGUUUGAGAGCAGCCUGGCCAACAUGGCGAAACCCUGUCUCUACAAAAAAGUACUGCCAGGCGCGGUGGCUUACGCCUGUAAUCCCAGCACUUUGGGAGGCUAAGCAGGCAGAUCACCUCAGGUCAGGAGUUCAAGACCAGGCUGGGCCAACAUGGCAAAACCCCAUCUCUACUAAAAAUACAAAAAUUAGCCUGGUGUGGUGGCAUGUGUCUAGUCCCAGCUACUCGAGAGGCUGAGGCAGGGGAACUGCUUGAACCCAGGAGGCGGGGGUUGCACUGAACCUGUUGCGCCACUGCAUUCCAGCCUGGGUGGCAGAGCAAGACUCUUAUCUCAAAAACAACCAAACACAAAACAAAAAUUAGCUGGGUCUGGUGACAUGUGCUUAUAGUCCCAGCUACUUGGGGGGCUGAGGCAGGAGGAUUGCUUGAGCCUGGGAGGUUGAGGCUGCAGCAAUGAGCUGUGUUUGUGCCACUGCACUCUAGCCUGGACAACAAAAUGAGACCUUGUCUCAAAAAGAAAAAAAAAAAGCAGGGUGCAGUGGCUGACGCCUGUAAUCCCAGCACUUUGGGAGGCCGAGGCGGGCGGAUCAGAAGGUCAGGAGAUCGAGACCAUCCUGGCUAACAAGGUGAAACCCUAUCUUUACUAAAAAUACAAAAACUUAGUCGGGUGUGGUGGCACGCACCUGUAGUACCAACUACUCAGGAGGCUUAGGCUGGAGAAUCGCUUGAACCCAGGAGGUGGAGGUUGCAGUGAGCCGAGAUUGCGCCACUGCACUCCAGCCUGCCAGCCUGGGCAACAGAGCGAGAUUCUGUCUCAAAAAACAAAAACAAAAAAACCCAGAAUAACUCACCCCAAACUUCCAGGUUUUUUUUUUUUUUGAGACGGAGUCUUGCUGUCGCCCAGGCUGGAGUGCAGUGGUUAGAUCUCAGCUCACUGCAACCUCCGCUUCCUGGGUUCAAGUGAUUCUUCUGUCUCAGCCUCCUGAGUAGCUGGGAUUACAGGUGUGCGCCACCAUGCCUGGCUAAAUUUUGUAUUUUUAGUAGAGAUAGGGUUUCACCAUGUUGGUCAGGCUGGUCUCAAACUCCUGACCUCAGGUGAUCCACCCGCCUCGGCCUCCCAAAGUGCCAGGAUUACAGGCGUAAAACUCCCAUGCUGGGCUGGUCAAAGUGCUGGGAUUACAGGCAUAAGACAACGCACCUGGAACUUGGCUUGUGUCAAAUGGAACUCAACAUCUUCCCUUUUACUAAACCCCACCCAACAUUCACUGCGCACAAGUUGUCUUAUUCACUGGACUUCUAAUAUGUUUAAGGGGUCUGUCCCCAUUUAUUUUUUGAAACGGGGUCUUUCUGUGUUGCCCAGGCUGGAGUGCAGUGGUUGUUCACAGGUGCCAACCUACUAUUGAUCAGCAUGGGAGCUUUGGGGUUUUAAAACAAAUUUUUUAAGCCAGUCAUAUUUAGCAGUGGGGGGUUGUAUACCAACUUUAGUGACACUAAUGUUAUUAAAUUCUAAUAACCCACUACCAUCAGACCAGCCCAGCUUGGGAGUUUUGACCUGCUCCAUUUCCGACCUGGGCUGUUUCACCCCUCCAUAGACAACCUGGAUAGUCCCCUGUCCUGGGAGGUCACCAUGUUGAAGCUGAACUUAGUGUGGACACCCAAACUGCAUAAUGCAUUACAGUCUAGAACUCCUGGGCUCAAGGGAUCCUCCCACCUCAGCCUCCUGAGUAGCUAGGACCACAGGGUGCACCACCGCGCCCAGCUGUCUUCCUUUUUUUUUCUGAGACCGAGCCUCACUCAGCUGUCCAAGCUAGAGUGCAGUGGUGUGAUCUCCAUUCACUGCAACCACUGUCUCCCUGGUUCAAGCGAUUCUCCUGUCUCAGCCUCCUGAGUAGCUGGGAUUACAGGAACCUACCAUCAUGCCCGGCUAAUUUUUGUAUUUUAGUAGAGAUGGGGUUUUACUAUGUUGGCCAAGCUAGUCUUGAACUCCCGACCUCAGGUGAUCUGCCCACCUUGGCCUCCCAAAGUGCUAGGAUUAUAGGCAUGAGCCACCACGCCCAGCCCCCUACCCUUAAAAAAAUUAUAUAUAUAUAUAAUAGAGACAGGGUUGCGCUAUGUUGCCCAGGCUGGUCUUGAACUCCUGGGCUCAAGGGAUCCUCCUGCCUUGGCCUCAAAAGUGCUGGAAUUACAGGCAUGGGCCACUGCACCCAGCCUAUCUUACAUUUUUUUUAAACUCAGAGCAUACCUCAUUUCAAUUUUCCUCCUCUCUUGCUUGGGUUCAUGUAAAAUCUUUCUAACUGGUUUCCAAGUGUCUGCUCUAUUAUGCUCCGUAUAUCCUCCAUACUCUAGUCUGCUCCUACGAACUUCAGCAUCUUCGGCCCCUCUGCCUGGAAUUUACAUCUUUCCAAUCCUGCCUCACAAAUUUUCUAUUAUAUAAGGCUCCGAAAUAUGAACUAGAAGUAAUUUCCGUGAAGCUGAUGACUUUAUCUGGCAUAUGGUAAGCUCUGAAUCAAUGUUUAUUGAAAGAAUGAAAUGUCACCCCUUUGUGAAGCCUUCCAGAGUUGUCCCUGAAGAAUUAAUUUCUCAACUCCAAGGUCCUUUGCUCAUCCUGUCAUCAUUUUUGUCUAGUAGUCAGUUGAAAACCAAUAAUUGAAAAGCUUGGCCGGACACGGUGGCUCAUGCCUGUAAUCCCAGCACUCUGGGAGGCCGAGGCAGGCGGAUCACAAGGUCAGGAAAUCAAGACCAUCCUGGCUAACACGGUGAAACCCCGUCUCUACUAAAAAUGCAAAAAAUUAGCCAGGCAUGGUGGUGGGCACCUGUAGUCCCAGCUACUCAGGAGGUGAGGCAAGAGAAUGGGGUGAACCCAGGAGGCGGAGUUUGCAGUGAGCCGAGAUCGCGCCACUGCAUUCCAGCCUGGAUGACACAGCGAGACUCUGUCUCUAAAAAAAAAAAAAAAAAAAAGGCUCCUCAAGUGCAGGGAUUGUGUUCUAUUCAUGCCCGACUCUUAAUUAACAGAUGGCGGCUCUCUAUGUACACUUGUCAAAUUAAGUAGAAAACAUCAAAACCCAGGCACCCUGAGGUUAAGAUGCCCUUUAGUGGUGGGAGUUAGUGCAUGGAAGGAGCCCAGGAAGCAUGCAGCUAACAGCCUGCUAAUUAGUAGUAUCAAGCUACCAAAUGGGCUCAUGGGUAGCUUUCCUUAAAAAUUGUAAAAAAAUGGGCCGGGCAUGGUGGCUCACGCCUGUAAUCCCAGCACUUUGGGAGGCCAAGGCGGGUGGAUCACGAGGUCCAGAGUUUGAGACCAGCCUGACCAACAUGGUGAAACCGUGUCUCUACUAAAAAUACAAAAAUUAGCCAGGCAUGCUGGCGCACACCUGUAAUCCCAGCUACUCAGGAAGCUGACGCAAGAGAAUCGCUUGAACCCAGAGGCAGAGGUUGCAAUGAGCUGAGAUUGCACCAUUGCACUCCGGCCUGAGUGACAGAGCGGGACUUCAUCUCAAAAAAAAAAAUUGUACAAAAUUUCCUUUAUUAAAAAUUGUAGCUCCCUCUCUCUCUCCCUCUCCCCCUCCCCCUCCCUCUCCACGGUCUCCCUCUGAUGCCACCAAAGUUAUGAAGGCCGAGGCUGGACUGUACUGCCGCCAUCUCGGCUCACUGCAACCUCCCUGCCUGAUUCUCCUGCCUCAGCCUGCAGAGUGCCUGGGAUUGCAGGCGCGUGCCGCCACGCCUGACUGGUUUUUGCAUUUUUUGGUGGAGACAGGGUUUCGCCGUGUUGACCGGGCUGGUCUCCAGCUCCUGACCGCGAGUGAUCUGCCUGCCUCGGCCCCCCGAGAUGCCGGGAUUGCAGACGGAGUCUCGCUCACUCAGUGCUCAAUGUUGCCCAGGCUGGAGUGCAGUGACGUGAUCUCGGCUCGCUACAACCUCCACCUCCCAGCCGCCUGCCUUGGCCUCCCAAAGUGCCGAGAUUGCAACCUCUGCCCGGCCGCCACCCCGUCUGGGAAGUGAGGAGCGUCUCUGCCUGGCCGCCCAUCGUCUGGGAUGUGAGGAGCCCCUCUGCCCGGCUGCCCAGUCUGGGAAGUGAGGAGCGCCUCUUCCCGGCCGCCAUCCCGUCUAGGAAGUGAGGAGCGUCUCUGCCUGGCUGCCCAUUGUCUGAGAUGUGGGGAUUGCCUCUGCCCCACUGCCCCGUCUGGGAUGUGAGGAGCGCCUCUGCCCGGCCGCGACCCUGUCUAGGAACUGAGGAGUGUCUCUGCCCGAUCGCCACCCAGUCUGCGAGGUGAGGAGCGUCUCUGCCCGGCCGCCCCGUCUGAGAAGUGAGGAGCCCCUCCGCCCGGCAGCCACCCCGUCUGGGAAGUGAGGAGCUCCUCCGCCCGGCAGCCGCCCCGUCUGGGAAGUGAGGAGCCCCUCCGCCCGGCAGCCGCCCCGUCCGGGAAGUGAGGAGCGUCUCCGCCCGGCAGCCACCCUGUCCGGGAGGUGGGGGGCAGCCCCCGCCUGGCCAGCCGCCCCGUCCGGGAGGGAGGUGGGGGGCGCCUCUGCCCGGCCGCCUCGUCUGGGAAGUGAGGAGCCCCUCUGCCCGGCUGCCACCCCGUCUGGGAGGUGUACCCGACAGCUCAUUGGGAACGGGCCAUGAUGAUGAUGGCGGUUUUGUUGAAUAGAAAAGGGGGAAAUGUGGGGAAAAGAGAGAGAUCAGAUUGUUACUGUGUCUGUGUAGAAAGAAGUAGACAUGGGAGACUCCAUUUUGUUCUGUACUAAGAAAAAUUCUUCUGCCUUGGGAUGCUGUUAAUCUAUAACCUUACCCCCAACCCCGUGCUCUCUGAAACAUGUGCUGUAUCCACUCAGGGUUAAAUGGAUUAAGGGCGGUGCAAGAUGUGCUUUGUUAAACAGAUGCUUGAAGGCAGCAUGGUCAUUAAGAGUCAUCACCACUCCCUAAUUUCAAGUACCCAGGGACACAAACACGGUGGAAGGCCGCAGGGUCCUCUGCCUAGGAAAACCAGAGAUGCUUGUUCACAUGUUUAUCUGCUGACCUUCCCUCCACUAUUGUCCUAUGACCCUGCCAAAUCCCCCUCUCCGAGAAACACCCAAGAAUGAUCAAUAAAUACUAAAAGAACAAAAAAAAAAAAACAAACACAAAACAAAAAAACCCAAAACAACAACAACAACAACAAAAAUUGUAGCCCAGGUGCGGUAGUUCAUGCCUGUAAUCCCAGCACUUUGGGAGGCCAAGGUAGGUGAAUCACUUGAGAUCAGGAGUUCGAAACCAGCCUAGCCAACAUGUGGCCAACAUAGCGAAACCUGGUCUCUACUAAAAAUACAAAAAGCCAGGUGUGUUGGUGCUCACCUGUAGUCCCAGCUACUCAGGAGGUUGAGGCACGAGAAUCACUUGAAACCAGGAGGCUGAGGUUGCAGUGAGCUGAGAUCAUGCCACCGCACUCAAGCCUGGGUGACAGAGCUAGACUGUCUCAAAAAACAAACAGACAAACAAAAACUAUAGGCUGGACACGGUAGCUCAUGCCUGUAAUCCCAACGGGCAGAUUGCUUGAGCUCAGGAGUUUGAGACCAGCCUGGGCAACAUGGCAAAACCUCUUCUCUACUAAAAAUAUAAAAAAUUAGCCAGGCAGGAUUGUGUGUGUCUGUGGUCCCAGCUACCAGGGAGGCUGAGAUAGGACGAUUACUUGAGCCCAGGAGGCAGAGGUUGCAGUGAGCUGAGAUCUUACCACUGCAUUCCAGCAAGACUCAGUCUCAAAAAAAAAAAAGAAAAAAAAAAAAAGAAAAAUUGUAAAAAGCAAUUUCUUGUAAAAAACAAAAACUGUACAGAGGCUACAAACAAUUGCCCCAUUUAUGUUGCCUACCCAGUCCUCAAAGAUGGCCAUUGCUCUUUGACACCUAUAUUGAUCAAGAUGUUUUCUCUGUUUAGACUUCAUAUAUAUGUGAACAUAAUUUCUGCCAUAUUUGGAGUAAUUUUGAACACACUGUUCUCCUACUCUUUUUUAAUUCCUCAAAUUGUAUUUUGGUUAUCUUUUUUUUUCCUUUUGAGAUGGAGUUUCACUCUUGUUGCCCAGGCUGGAGUGCAAUGGUGCCAUCUCAGCUCACAACAACCUCCGCCUCCCGGGUUUGAGCGAUUCUCCUGCCUCAGCCUCCCGAGUAGCUGGGAUUACAGCUAUGCACCACCACGCCUGGCUAAUUUUGUAUUUUUAAUAGAAGCAGGGUUUCUCCAUGUUGGUCAGGCGGGUCUCGAACUCUCGAACUCAAGUGAUCCACCCGCCUCGGCCUCCCAAAGUGCUGGGAUUGCAGGCGUGAGUCACCGUGCCUGGCCUUGUGGAUAUCUUUCUAUGUCAGUACAUAGAACUUGAUAUUAAGUGCUAUCUAUAUACUGAUGACUCUCAGUGUAUUUACAUUUUCAGCUCAGACUUCUCUUCUGAACUCUAGACUUAUAAAUAUCUACUUGACAUUGACAUAACCACCCUGAUGUCUCACAGAUUCCUUUUUUUUUUUUUUUUGAGAUGGAGUUUUGCUCUUGUUGCCUAGGCUGGAGUGCAAUGGCGUGAGCUCAGCUCACCACAACCUCCGCCUCCUGGGUUCAAGCUCAAGCAAUUCUCCUGCCUCAGCCUCCCAAGUAGCUGGGAUUACAGGCAUGUGCCACCACACCCAGCUAAUUUUGUAUUUUUUUUUUUUUUUUUAGUAGAGACGGGGUUUCUCCGU